rnacentral:ribozyme from 1 species
UGCUCAGCAACUCCUAUCCCUACCUCCUCGUGGUACUGGCCGGGGUACGAGUAACCUUCGGGAAGUUCGGGUUACCAACCCUGGUGGGAGCUUUGGUCUUAUGUUGACAGGAAAGG